rnacentral:lncRNA from 1 species
GCAGGCAGGGGUGAGGAGCGCAGCGGGCGGCGAGCGGGAGGCACUGGCCUCCAGAGCCCGUGGCCAAGGCGGGCCUCGCGGGCGGCGACGGAGCCGGGAUCGGUGCCUCAGCGUUCGGGCUGGAGACGAGGCCAGGUCUCCAGCUGGGGUGGACGUGCCCACCAGCUGCCGAAGGCCAAGACGCCAGGUCCGGUG